AACGAACGCCGGCGGCAUGCCUAAUACAUGCAAGUCGAACGAGAUCUUCGGAUCUAGUGGCGCACGGGUGCGUAACGCGUGGGAAUCUGCCCUUGGGUUCGGAAUAACUUCUGGAAACGGAAGCUAAUACCGGAUGAUGACGUAAGUCCAAAGAUUUAUCGCCCAAGGAUGAGCCCGCGUAGGAUUAGCUAGUUGGUGAGGUAAAGGCUCACCAAGGCGACGAUCCUUAGCUGGUCUGAGAGGAUGAUCAGCCAAACUGGGACUGAGACACGGCCCAGACUCCUACGGGAGGCAGCAGUAGGGAAGAUUGGACAAUGGGGGAAACCCUGAUCCAGCAAUGCCGCGUGAGUGAUGAAGGCCUUAGGGUUGUAAAGCUCUUUUACCCGGGAUGAUAAUGACAGUACCGGGAGAAUAAGCUCCGGCUAACUCCGUGCCAGCCGCCGCAGUAAUAC
rnacentral:rRNA from 1 species